ACGCUGGCGGCAGGCCUAACACAUGCAAGUCGAGCGGUAGAGAGAAGCUUGCUUCUCUUGAGAGCGGCGGACGGGUGAGUAAUGCCUAGGAAUCUGCCUGGUAGUGGGGGAUAACGUCCGGAAACGGACGCUAAUACCGCAUACGUCCUACGGGAGAAAGCAGGGGACCUUCGGGCCUUGCGCUAUCAGAUGAGCCUAGGUCGGAUUAGCUAGUUGGUGGGGUAAUGGCUCACCAAGGCGACGAUCCGUAACUGGUCUGAGAGGAUGAUCAGUCACACUGGAACUGAGACACGGUCCAGACUCCUACGGGAGGCAGCAGUGGGGAAUAUUGGACAAUGGGCGAAAGCCUGAUCCAGCCAUGCCGCGUGUGUGAGGAAGGUCUUCGGAUUGUAAAGCACUUUAAGUUGGGAGGAAGGGCAUUAACCUAAUACGUUAGUGUUUUGACGUUACCGACAGAAUAAGCACCGGCUAACUCUGUGCCAGCAGCCGCGGUAAUACAGAGGGUGCAAGCGUUAAUCGGAAUUACUGGGCGUAAAGCGCGCGUAGGUGGUUUGUUAAGUUGGAUGUGAAAUCCCCGGGCUCAACCUGGGAACUGCAUUCAAAACUGACUGACUAGAGUAUGGUAGAGGGUGGUGGAAUUUCCUGUGUAGCGGUGAAAUGCGUAGAUAUAGGAAGGAACACCAGUGGCGAAGGCGACCACCUGGACUAAUACUGACACUGAGGUGCGAAAGCGUGGGGAGCGAAC
rnacentral:rRNA from 1 species